AUGAACGCUAGCGGCAGGCUUAACACAUGCAAGUCGAGGGGCAGCGGGGAGUAGCAAUACUCCGCCGGCGACCGGCGCACGGGUGCGUAACGCGUAUGCAACCUACCUUUAACAGGGGCAUAACACUGAGAAAUUGGUACUAAUUCCCCAUAACAUUCGAGAAGGCAUCUUCUUGGGUUAAAAACUCCGGUGGUUAAAGAUGGGCAUGCGUUGUAUUAGCUAGUUGGUGAGGUAACGGCUCACCAAGGCAACGAUACAUAGGGGGACUGAGAGGUUAACCCCCCACAUUGGUACUGAGACACGGACCAAACUCCUACGGGAGGCAGCAGUGAGGAAUAUUGGUCAAUGGACGCAAGUCUGAACCAGCCAUGCCGCGUGCAGGAAGACGGCUCUAUGAGUUGUAAACUGCUUUUGUACUAGGGUAAACGCUUCUACGUGUAGGAGCCUGAAAGUAUAGUACGAAUAAGGAUCGGCUAACUCCGUGCCAGCAGCCGCGGUAAUACGGAGGAUCCAAGCGUUAUCCGGAUUUAUUGGGUUUAAAGGGUGCGUAGGCGGUUUGAUAAGUUAGAGGUGAAAUACCGGGGCUCAACUCCGGAACUGCCUCUAAUACUGUUGAACUAGAGAGUAGUUGCGGUAGGCGGAAUGUAUGGUGUAGCGGUGAAAUGCUUAGAGAUCAUACAGAACACCGAUUGCGAAGGCAGCUUACCAAACUAUAUCUGACGUUGAGGCACGAAAGCGUGGGGAGCAAACAGGAUUAGAUACCCUGGUAGUCCACGCAGUAAACGAUGAUAACUCGUUGUCGGCGAUACACAGUCGGUGACUAAGCGAAAGCGAUAAGUUAUCCACCUGGGGAGUACGUUCGCAAGAAUGAAACUCAAAGGAAUUGACGGGGGCCCGCACAAGCAGCGGAGCAUGUGGCUUAAUUCGAAGCAACGCGAAGAACCUUACCAGGGCUUGACAUCCGGGUGAAGCGGCAGAGACGCCGUGGCCGAGAGGAGCCCGGACAGGUGGUGCAUGGCUGUCGUCAGCUCGUGCCGUGAGGUGUCGGGUUAAGUCCCAUAACGAGCGCAACCCCUACCGUUAGUUGCCAUCAGGUCAAGCUGGGCACUCUGGCGGGACUGCCGGUGUAAGCCGAGAGGAAGGUGGGGAUGACGUCAAAUCAGCACGGCCCUUACGUCCGGGGCUACACACGUGUUACAAUGGUAGGUACAGAGGGCCGCUACCCCGCGAGGGGAUGCCAAUCUCGAAAGCCUAUCUCAGUUCGGAUCGGAGGCUGAAACCCGCCUCCGUGAAGUUGGAUUCGCUAGUAAUCGCGCAUCAGCCAUGGCGCGGUGAAUACGUUCCCGGGCCUUGUACACACCGCCCGUCAAGCCAUGGAAGCUGGGGGUGCCUGAAGUUCGUGACCGCAAGGAGCGACCUAGGGCAAAACCGGUGACUGGGGCU
rnacentral:rRNA from 1 species